rfam:Bombyx mori DNA, contig: Bm_scaf71_contig31150, strain: p50T/Dazao, build 2, whole genome shotgun sequence.
UUAGAGGAUUUUUUCGAAUCCACAGCAUAUACUAAGCGAUUCGACUU